GGGCGGGUAGCGUAGUGGUCAGCGCAUUCACUGAGCGUAUCUCUCUCUUUCCCAAGCGAUUUCCAGCGUUGAUUCGUCAUCUUUCUCCUUUAAAUAGCGUUCGUUGAAAGACCUGGGUUCGAGUCCCAGCCCGCCCA